CGGGGUGUGGCCCAGCUCGGCCUAAGGCGCAUGCAUGGGGUGCAUGAGAUCCCGGGUUCAAAUCCCGGCACCCCGACCA
rnacentral:tRNA from 1 species